UUGCUAUGAUGAUGCUUUUUACUGGUUGAAACUAUUCUUUGAAUGUUUGAUGAAACUUUGACCAUUGUGUCGAUCUGAGCGGUUACCUGAGCAA